UCUGAAUCUGCGNACGGCUCCGCACACCAGUUGUAAACCAAAGCAAGCAAGCCCGGUCUCGACGCCUUUCGGGGCUAGGGGCCGGGCUACAAGGAUAACCCUGGUAAUUCUGAGGCUAAUACUUGACACGAACCUGCUGACUGGGUCUCGGCUCGGGAGGUGGGGGAUGUGCGACUAUCGGGCCAACGAAACCGGAAAGAGCGCACGCUCAGACCACUUAAAAAGGCUUCGGGGUCCCUCGGGAUCCCGGGGCUGUGGCUCUUGCAGCGUGCUUCUGACCUGUCAACUAGACGGCAGC
rnacentral:rRNA from 1 species